rnacentral:rRNA from 1 species
AUUUACUUCGGUAAAGAGCGGCGGACGGGUGAGUAACGCGCCAUUAACCUGCCCUGUACACACGGAUAACAUACCGAAAGGUAUGCUAAUACAAGAUAAAAUACUUUUAUCGCAUGGUAGAAGUAUCAAAGCUUUUGCGGUACAGGAUGGACCCGCGUCUGAUUAGCUAGUUGGUAAGGUAACGGCUUACCAAGGCGACGAUCAGUAGCCGACCUGAGAGGGUGAUCGGCCACAUUGGAACUGAGACACGGUCCAAACUCCUACGGGAGGCAGCAGUGGGGAAUAUUGCACAAUGGGCGAAAGCCUGAUGCAGCAACGCCGCGUGAGCGAUGAAGGCCUUCGGGUCGUAAAGCUCUGUCCUCAAGGAAGAUAAUGACGGUACUUGAGGAGGAAGCCCCGGCUAACUACGUGCCAGCAGCCGCGGUAAUACGUAGGGGGCUAGCGUUAUCCGGAAUUACUGGGCGUAAAGGGUGCGUAGGUGGUUUCUUAAGUCAGAGGUGAAAGGCUACGGCUCAACCGUAGUAAGCCUUUGAAACUGGGGAACUUGAGUGCAGGAGAGGAGAGUGGAAUUCCUAGUGUAGCGGUGAAAUGCGUAGAUAUUAGGAGGAACACCAGUUGCGAAGGCGGCUCUCUGGACUGUAACUGACACUGAGGCGCGAAAGCGUGGGGAGCAAACAGGAUUAGAUACCCUGGUAGUCCACGCCGUAAACGAUGAGUACUAGCUGUCGGAGG